AUAUCUCUCCGUACGGGAAGGAUGAGAAGCUUCGACUAAGGUUCGAUUCGAGCGCAGCGAGAAAGCGUUGCCGCAGGCAACGACCCG
rnacentral:sRNA from 2 species